UGGCCUUGAAUGCCUCCAGGGAUGGGGCAUCCACAACCUCCUUGGGUGACCUGUUCCAGUGUGUCAUCACCCUAAAGGUCCUGACCUGACAAAGGCAUUCAGAACUCUGGUUUUAGAAACAAAGCUUAAAAAGAAGGCCUGAGUGUGUUGUGUAUGUUCAGGAACUGGGAACAAACAAACAAACAAAAAACAACCGCAGCACAAAACCAGGGAGACUUAAGGAAUAUCCUUAUGGUUUUAAGCUGAUCUAAUUAUUUUUAGUGCCUAAGCAACGAGUUUAAAGGCUGCACUUUUUUUUUUUUUUUUUUUUUUUUUUGCAUUUUUAGAUUGGUGUUUGCGCAGUUUUUGUAUGUUGCUCAGAUUACCGAUGAUAUCCAUGAGGGUAACUCAGUGGGGGCAAAGGCAAAGGCCUAUGCUAUACCAGGAAUCAUUAGCCCCAUGCAUGCAGGUUAGAAGUUGUAGUCUUGAGACCCUGAGGGCACAGGUGGGUUUCAGCUGCACUGAUUGCCGCAGCCGUGCCCUCUGCUGCAGUCUCGUCUCUGAGGUGUGCCUCUGCUCUGUAUCCCAAACCUUUGUCAGACCCCAUCUCCUGCUGCUUCUGACCAGCAUCUCAGAAUGAACCCAACCUUCUCCUCUCAGCCAGCAAUGAUCCAGCAGCAGGGAUAACGAAGCAUGAAAGAGAUUUCUAGGGUGGGUUGCAAAGUUCUCUCCUUGCCAAGAGCAAUUUAGAUAAUUAUUUUUGCCCUGCUCUGGUAGGUGUAUUGUUGUUGGUCUCAGGUGUAGCUUCAUGGCUUUGUUCCUCCAGCCUGGCUUAAUGAGCCUCUUACUGAUGGUAGUUACAAUCUGUGGUUUAUUUUAUUUAGUUAAAGUUUUGCUCAAAACAAAGGCUCAGAUUAUCUAUGCAUUCUUUGUUUGGCUUAGCUCUGUGCCUUGCUAGCUGUUGCUGUCUCUUGAGCAGUACAGUUGAACAUGAUUAGGCUUAAUGAGCACAGGUGGAAAUACUUGAACCUACCAAGUGUCAGGAGUUUACACGAUUGCAGGUGGAUUCAUUUUGCCACAUGAGUAGAAUUGCAGUGCUUGAUUUAAUUUUAACUAAAGCCAGUAUUUCUUCUAACACCCAGAAUGCUAAUUAGGGUUUCUAUAGUCUAUGUAUGAUUUAUCUGAUAGAAUCAGUCUAUAAAAAAGGGCUUUCCAGGGAAGAUAAGUAAAUAGCAGGAGUGCUACUCAUUUCUUAAAGCAGUUUGUUUCCACGCAUCUUCCUUUGAUGGCUGUUGAAAAGAUCCUGAAAUUCCAAAUCUAUAAGACCAAGUGAAGCUAACCAUUCUCCCAAAUCCUUUAUACUGGCUAUCAGUGAAUUCUCCAUCCACCUGGUGGCAGUUGAAGCCAUACCUGGGACCUUGCUGACAGCUCUCAUCCCUUUGGAACCACUCUGCAAAGAGCAAGUUCUUUGAUGUGAAAAAGUCAAGGCUGCUGUGACCUUGCUGUUCAUGUUCCCUGGGUAGCAGAGACACUUAAAUGAUGCCUUGUGUGAAGACAGAUACAGUUAUUUUUUUUUCUUCAAGAGUGUGACGCAGCAAAACCUAUCACCAAUGAAGUAAGAAGACAGGCAACACUUGAUAAACACUCAGAUCUCUGAAGAGCUCCAUUAUAUUCUCUAACGUAGUAGCCAUUGUUUUGGAUGUGGUAAAGCAAUAAGUCAGCAGUUGUGAAGUUUGGGGAAAAUGGCCUGUGAAUUUAAUCUAAACUUCCUUAAGGAAUUGGAGCGAGAGGCUGUUCUGGAAGUCCUGUACCGUGACCAGAUGGUGAGAAAAACGGAGGAAGAAAGAGUAAGGAAACUGAAGCUGCAGCUGCACCAGCUUCGAUGGAAAGGGGCAAGAAAUGUAAGCCACGAAUACCAGGAGAGGUCUUGUGCUCGCUGCCAGAAAUCCCUUGGAUUGCUGCUGAACAGAGGCGCGGUGUGCAAUGGGUGCAGUCAUCGAGUGUGCUCUGAAUGCCGUGUCUGCCUGAAUCCCUCCCUUUGGAAAUGCACCGUUUGCUAUGCUCAUGGAUAAUAAACCAAAGCCUUUGGCAGAAAGAAUGAAUAUGUUGGGUGAAGACCGGAGGAAUUAAUAGGAAUUUUGCCCGUGCUUCAUGGAGUCAGAAGUUCUUUUCUGCAUUUUCAGAGUAGGCCAGAGGUGGUGUCAUCUCUCUUGCAAAGAUGUUAAUUGCAAAAAACAGAGCAGUCUUAGUAUCUGAACUCUAGAUGGCACUCUAGUCAAUAGAUGUCCCCGAGUCGACACUCAAUUGGUGCAUCAGAAUGGGUUCUGCGUAGUAUAGCAAAUUUCUUGACGUUCUUGAUCAUUAUCAUUUUUCUUCUGUCUCUUUUUUUUGUUGUUUGUUUUGUUUUGUUUUUGCCUCGUACUACUGAGAUGAGGAACCUGGAUGAACGAAUAGUGUGAAAUCAUGUUUUGUAUGUAUUUAACAUCAUUAACAACUUCUGCAUUUUAUCAGGAACUGCUUAAACACGGUCAGAGCAGAGAUCCAGGUUUGGUUACUGAAACUGUUAUUUACUUAUUUUGCUCUGUCACCUUGGUUUUGUUUUCCUGAAAAAGGGAAAUAAUCUUCCUUUUAAUCUAUUGGUACAACUUUUAUAUCAAAACACUCCCUCACAGUCCCUUCUAUUAAUCAGAAUCUUCCUAAAUCAAAUGAUUUAGAUAUAUUUUCUCCCUGGAUAGAAAAAGAAAUUAAUCUGUAAGUAAAGAGAGUCUUGAAAGAGAGUCAACAGCUCUGCUGGUUGAUAUAAAUCCCUAUAUGAAGGGUGAGCACUUGGGUGAAAUUUUACUAUAUGCCAACACAAGAAUAAUGCACCACCUCACUCCCUCUUAAGAUAUCAAAAUGAGAUUUAAAUAAUGCCUGAGAAAUGUGAGAGAAGGUAUUAGUCAUAAACUGAAUUAAUUUCUAAUUGUAGUUUAAAGUCAUUUUCUGUGUUCUUGAAAGAGACUGUAAACUAUCACUGAAAUGGUGCUCUCUGAAUCCUCAAUUUAUUUUGCAAUUUACACACAAGAUAGAAAAUCAACCCCUCCUGUAUUUAGUACAAAGCAGUUGCUAAAUUUUGAUGUGUUUCACUGCCUGUGCUUAAUGCUAUGAACAUUAAAAAUAGAGGCUAAAAAACAACUAUAUGUAUCCCUGUCUAGAUUUGCCCCCCUUCCCCACUUUCUCUUUUUAUUUAAACUAGUUUCCAGUUAUUUGGUGGCAAUAGUGGAAAUCCCCUCUAGCUAGCAGCUAGUUACCAAAGUGCCUUGCUGUAGUACUGUGCAUCUUUAAUUAUUUCAUAAAGUUGUCCAGAUAUUUAAUAGUCAGAAUGGGAAAGCAUUGUUUAAAUGGAUUAAAAUAUAUUCUGACUCUUUAUGAGGAAGUUUUAUUUUUUGUCUUGCUGAUAC